rnacentral:rRNA from 1 species
UACGAAGGGGGCUAGCGUUGCUCGGAAUCACUGGGCGUAAAGCGCACGUAGGCGGACUCUUAAGUCGGGGGUGAAAUCCUGGAGCUCAACUCCGGAACUGCCUUCGAUACUGGGAGUCUUGAGUUCGGGAGAGGUGAGUGGAACUGCGAGUGUAGAGGUGAAAUUCGUAGAUAUUCGCAAGAACACCAGUGGCGAAGGCGGCUCGCUGGCCCGAUACUGACGCUGAGGUGCGAAAGCGUGGGGAGCAAACAGG